rnacentral:rRNA from 1 species
GGGAAUAUUGGACAAUGGGGGCAACCCUGAUCCAGCCAUGCCGCGUGUGUGAAGAAGGCCUUCGGGUUGUAAAGCACUUUCAGCUGUGAGGAAAGGCGAGUGGUUAAUACCCGCUUGCUGUGACGUUAACAGCAGAAGAAGGACCGGCUAACUCCGUGCCAGCAGCCGCGGUAAUACGGAGGGUCCGAGCGUUAAUCGGAAUUACUGGGCGUAAAGCGCGCGUAGGUGGUUCAGUCAGUCAGAUGUGAAAGCCCCGGGCUCAACCUGGGAACUGCACCUGAUACUGCUGAGCUAGAGUACGGUAGAGGGUAGUGGAAUUUCCGGUGUAGCGGUGAAAUGCGUAGAGAUCGGAAGGAACACCAGUGGCGAAGGCGACUACCUGGACCGAUACUGACACUGAGGUGCGAAAGCGUGGGUAGCAAACAGGAUUAGAUACCCUGGUAGUCCACGCCGUAAACGAUGUCAACUAGCCGUUGGGGGACUUGAUCC